rnacentral:rRNA from 1 species
UACGUAGGGUGCAAGCGUUAAUCGGAAUUACUGGGCGUAAAGCGUGCGCAGGCGGUUCGGAAAGAAAGAUGUGAAAUACCAGGGCUUAACCUUGGAUCUGCAUUUUUAACUACCGGGCUAGAGUGUGUCAGAGGGAGGUGGAAUUCCUCGUGUAGCAGUGAAAUGCGUAGAUAUGCGGAGGAACACCGAUGGCGAAGGCAGCCUCUUGGGAUAACACUGACGCUCAUGCACGAAAGCGUGGGGAGCAAAUA